UCCAAAAACCUUUUCAAUUUUUCCACUUUACCUUUCCUCUCAAUUUUCUAUCAAAUCACAAAGAGCUCACCUCUCUUCUCUUCUUAGAAGAGAAGCUGAGUUAGGGCCAUUAUGGAGUUUAUUACAUAGCUAAGCGAACACCUUCCUUUUUGUUUCUUUGGGUUGUUCUGGGUGUGGUGCUCAUCUCCACCUAGGGCUUCCAUCUUCGCAAGUUCGUUUUCAAUUGUGAGGAGCAGAUAAGUAAGCACCGACUGAUCAUGAUUAGGUGGAAGGUGAUGCUGCUGGUAGUUAGAUGUUCGAUCUGUUCCAAUCUUUGAGUACUCUUUUUAGGAAGACUUUCUUUAUGUAGUGUUUAAUGCUCUCUAUAUGAGCAUUCUUUUGAAAAACUAUGAAAUAUAUUUUGAAUGACUGUAAUAUUAUUAUGCUAUACUCUCUUUUGAUGCUCGUUUAUAAUGCUUGGUGUGCUGUUU